rnacentral:lncRNA from 1 species
UUCUCUUCAACAUCAUUUUGACUUCCCAUUUCCUGGGGCUUGAAGAAAAGAAAGACAGAACUGUUUCCUCGGGGCCGCCAUAUGACCAGAGAAUGGAGCAGAUGUUCCUUAGCAGAUGAAGACAGCCUUUGAAAGCUCAGAGAAGCCCAUGAUAGCUGCGGUAGAGAAGCCCUAUUGGAUUUCGGUACUAGUAAGAAGCUGGAACAAAGCCAAAAACACCACCAAGACCAG